rnacentral:rRNA from 1 species
UGGGGAAUUUUGGACAAUGGGGGAAACCCUGAUCCAGCCAUCCCGCGUGUGCGAUGAAGGCCUUCGGGUUGUAAAGCACUUUUGGCAGGAAAGAAACGUCAUGGGUUAAUACCCCGUGAAACUGACGGUACCUGCAGAAUAAGCACCGGCUAACUACGUGCCAGCAGCCGCGGUAAUACGUAGGGUGCAAGCGUUAAUCGGAAUUACUGGGCGUAAAGCGUGCGCUGGCGGUUCGGAAAGAAAGAUGUGAAAUCCCAGAGCUCAACUUUGGAACUGCAUUUUUAACUACCGGGCUAGAGUGUGUCAGAGGGAGGUGGAAUUCCGCGUGUAGCAGUGAAAUGCGUAGAUAUGCGGAGGAACACCGGUGGCGAAGGCAGCCUCCUGGGAUAACACUGACGCUCAUGCACGAAAGCGUGGGGAGCAAACAGG